rnacentral:rRNA from 1 species
AUUGAACGCUGGCGGCAGGCCUAACACAUGCAAGUCGAGCGGAAACGACACUAACAAUCCUUCGGGUGCGUUAAUGGGCGUCGAGCGGCGGACGGGUGAGUAAUGCCUAGGAAAUUGCCUUGAUGUGGGGGAUAACCAUUGGAAACGAUGGCUAAUACCGCAUAAUGCCUACGGCCCAAAGAGGGGGACCUUCGGGCCUCUCGCGUCAAGAUAUGCCUAGGUGGGAUUAGCUAGUUGGUGAGGUAAUGGCUCACCAAGGCGACGAUCCCUAGCUGGUCUGAGAGGAUGAUCAGCCACACUGGAACUGAGACACGGUCCAGACUCCUACGGGAGGCAGCAGUGGGGAAUAUUGCACAAUGGGCGAAAGCCUGAUGCAGCCAUGCCGCGUGUAUGAAGAAGGCCUUCGGGUUGUAAAGUACUUUCAGUUGUGAGGAAGGGUGUGUAGUUAAUAGCUGCGCAUUUUGACGUUAGCAACAGAAGAAGCACCGGCUAACUUCC